UUUCCGUAGGUGAACCUGCGGAAGGAUCAUUAAUGAAUAACCAAAGCUCAAGAACUGGCGCUGGCCCGGGAGGCAGAGGAAGCCCGAGAGAAAAAACACACAGCGAUCUGACCCCAACGUGCUCCAACGCGUGGGUGCUCCUUUUGGGUAUUAAGGGAGCGGCUACGGGCUUUUGUUAGGAUUUGGGGGGAGUGUGUAAAGUGUUUUUUGUCUUUGCUAACGCGUAAUCCAUACAACUUUGAGCAACUGAUUUCUUGUCUCUCGCAUCGAUGAGUAACG
rnacentral:misc_RNA from 1 species